UCCGGUUUAGACCGGCGGUCUCCUUAGACAUAGCAACUAAGGACAAGGGUUGCGCUCGUUGCGGGACUUAACCCAACACCUCACGGCACGAGCUGACGACAGCCAUGCAGCAUCUGUGCACGCUCCCUUGCGGGUCCCUUCACUUACAUGUUGGUACCACGUGCAUGUCAAGCCGAGGUAAGGUUCUGCGCGUUGCAUCGAAUUAAACCACAGGCUCCACCGCUUGUGCGGGCCCCCGUCAAUCCCUUUGAGUUUUAAUCUUGCGACCGUACUCCCCAGGCGGAAUGCUUAAAGCGUUAGCUGCGCCACUAGUGAGUAAACCCACUAACGGCUGGCAUUCAUCGUUUACGGCGUGGACUAC
rnacentral:misc_RNA from 1 species